rnacentral:rRNA from 1 species
GAUGAACGCUGGCGGCGUGCCUAAUACAUGCAAGUCGAGCGAACAGACGAGGAGCUUGCUCCUCUGACGUUAGCGGCGGACGGGUGAGUCACACGUGGAUAACCUACCUAUAAGACUGGGAUCACUUCGGGACACCGGAGCUAAUACCAGAUAAUAUCUUGCACCGCAUGGUUCAAUAGUGAAAGACGGUUUUGCUGUCACUUAUAGCUGGAUCCGCGCCGCAUUAGCUAGUUGGUAAGGUAACGGCUUACCAAGGCAACUAUGCGUGGCCGACGUGAGUGAGGGGUCGCCGACACGGGAGGGUGGACAGGCACCAGACGCCUGCGGGAGGGAGCAGUAGGGAACCGUACGCAACGGGCGAAAGCUUUACGGAGCAAGCGCGAGUGAGUGAUAAAGGUCUUGGGAGCGUAAAGCUGGGUUAUGAGGGAAGAACAAAUGUGUAAGGAGAUAUGCACGUCUUGACGGUACCGGAUCAGAAAGCCACGGCUAACUACGUG